rnacentral:rRNA from 1 species
UACGUAGGCGGCAAGCGUUACCCGGAUUUAUUGGGCGUAAAGAGUGCGCAGGCGGGUCUCUAAGUUAUCAUUGAAAUCUCUCCGCUCAACGGGGAAACUGGUGGUAAUACUGGAGGCCUGGAUGACUAGAGGGGGUACCGGAACAGUUGGUGGAGCAGUGAAAUGCGUUGAUAUCAACUGGAACACCAAAGGCGAAGGCAGGUACCUGGCUAGUUCAUGACGCUGAUGCACGAAAGCGUGGGGAGCAAAACGG